AUUGAACGCUGGCGGCAUGCUUUACACAUGCAAGUCGAACGGUAACAGGCCUUCGGGUGCUGACGAGUGGCGAACGGGUGAGUAAUGCAUCGGAACGUACCCAGAGGUGGGGGAUAACGCAGCGAAAGCUGUGCUAAUACCGCAUGUGAUCUGAGGAUGAAAGCGGGGGACCGAGCAGCAAUGUUUGGCCUCGCGCCUUUGGAGCGGCCGAUGUCGGAUUAGCUAGUUGGUGGGGUAAAGGCCUACCAAGGCGACGAUCCGUAGCUGGUCUGAGAGGACGACCAGCCACACUGGGACUGAGACACGGCCCAGACUCCUACGGGAGGCAGCAGUGGGGAAUUUUGGACAAUGGGCGCAAGCCUGAUCCAGCAAUGCCGCGUGCGGGAAGAAGGCCUCGGGUUGUAAACCGCUUUUGGCAGGAACGAAACGGUGUCCGCUAAUACCGGGCGCUAAUGACGGUACCUGCAGAAUAAGCACCGGCUAACUACGUG
rnacentral:rRNA from 1 species